rnacentral:rRNA from 1 species
UACGUAGGGUCCGAGCGUUGUCCGGAAUUAUUGGGCGUAAAGGGCUCGUAGGCGGUUUGUCGCGUCUGCUGUGAAAUCCCGAGGCUCAACCUCGGGCCUGCAGUGGGUACGGGCAGACUGGAGUGCGGUAGGGGAGAAUGGAAUUCCUGGUGUAGCGGUGGAAUGCGCAGAUAUCAGGAAGAACACCCGUGGCGAAAGCGGCUCUCUGGAACGGUACUGACGCUGAGACGCGAAAGCGUGGGGAGCGAACAGG